rnacentral:rRNA from 1 species
AUUGAACGCUGGCGUCAGGCCUAACACAUGCAAGUCGAACGAGUGGCGGACGGGUGAGUAAUGUCUGGGAACCUGCCCGAUGGAGGGGGAUAACUACUGGAAACGGUAGCUAAUACCGCAUACCAUCGGAUGUGCCCAGAUGGGAUUAGCUUGUAGGUGAGGUAACGGCUCACCUAGGCGACGAUACCUAGCUGGUCUGAGAGGAUGACCAGCAAAACUGGAAUUGAGACACGGGCGAGAGUCCGAAGGGAGGGAGAAGUGGGGAAGAUUGCAAAAUGGGCGCAAGUCUGAUGCAGCCAUGCCGCGUGUAUGAAGAAGGCCUGCGGGUUGUAAAGGACUGUCAGCGGGGAGGCGUUACCCGAAGAAGAAGCACCGGCUAACUCCGUGCCAGCCGACGCGGUAAUUC